rnacentral:rRNA from 1 species
AUACGGAAGGUCCGGGCGUUAUCCGGAUUUAUUGGGUUUAAAGGGAGCGCAGGCGGGGAGCUAAGCGUGACGUGAAAUGUAGCCGCUCAACGGCUGAACUGCGUCGCGAACUGGUUUUCUUGAGUGAGUACGACGUCAGCGGAAUUCGUGGUGUAGCGGGGAAAUGCUUAGAUAUCACGAAGAACCCCGAUUGCGAAGGCAGCUGACGAGUCCUUUACUGACGCUAAAGCUCGAAGGUGCGGGUAUCGAACAGGAUUAGAUACCCUGGUAGUCCGCACGGUAAACGAUGGAUGCCCGCUGUCGGCGAUAUAUUGUCGGCGGCCAAGCGAAAGCGUUAAGCAUCCCACCUGGGGAGUACGCCGGCAACGGUGAAACUCAAAUGAAUUGACGGGG